UACGUAGGGUGCAAGCGUUGUCCGGAAUUAUUGGGCGUAAAGAGCUCGUAGGCGGUCUGUCGCGUCGGCUGUGAAAACCCGAGGCUCAACCUCGGGCCUGCAGUCGAUACGGGCAAACUAGAGUACUGCAGGGGAGACUGGAAUUCCUGGUGUAGCGGUGAAAUGCGCAGAUAUCAGGAGGAACACCGGUGGCGAAGGCGGGUCUCUGGGCAUUAACUGACGCUGAGGAGCGAAAGCAUGGGGAGCGAACAGG
rnacentral:rRNA from 1 species